AUCAAGCUAGAAAGGCUUUGAAUGCAGUCCUGAUGAUGAACUGGAUGUCUUUUGUCUGGGGACCACACUAGAUAAGUUCGGAGUGGCUCAUUACUAGGUUGGCCUCAGGGUGAUGAAUUUUUCUUGCACAGCUGCUCUUCAAAAAACUAUCUACUAAGGUGAUAAAAGCAUCACUGGAAUUUACUGUAGGAGUGUGAAAAUGGUCAGCCCUGUGCUUCUGGAAAAUCACUGGCAGCCAAGUGAAAGAUGGACUGAAGAGGACAGAAAUGUUUGUAAUUUAAGAUGUUUAAACAAAAGUGAAGAGAAGAGAAUAAUGUAUCAUAAAACUACAAAACUGCAC